rnacentral:rRNA from 1 species
AAGCAACGCGCAGAACCUUACCAGCGUUUGACAUCCCGCGCUAUCCAGAGAGAUUUGGAGUUCCCUUCGGGGACGCGGUGACAGGUGCUGCAUGGCUGUCGUCAGCUCGUGUCGUGAGAUGUUGGGUUAAGUCCCGCAACGAGCGCAACCCUCGUCCUUAGUUGCCAUCAUUUAGUUGGGCACUCUAAGGAAACCGCCGGUGAUAAGCCGGAGGAAGGUGGGGAUGACGUCAAGUCCUCAUGGCCCUUACACGCUGGGCUACACACGUGCUACAAUGGCGGUGACAGUGGGCAGCAAGCGCGCGAGCGUGAGCUAAUCUCCAAAAGCCGUCUCAGUUCGGAUUGUUCUCUGCAAC